AGUCAGACACGACGAAACGACUAAACAACAACAUAGGAGGCUUUCCCCUGGCUCACUGUCUUCUUGGUGUCUCUUUCAUUUUGCUUGCUCCCUCUUCAGGUUUCUUGUUGGCCCCUUUCCUAACUCCCUGUUCCCUACUCCUUCAACCCCAGUGGGUCCUGCCUCAACUAUCUCUGCAGCCCUCCCUCCCCUUUUUUGCAUACUUUUCCAUCAAUAGGAUACUCUCCAAGUAUUCAGUCUGGUGGGGGGCAGCAGUUUAAAGAGAAAGUAUCUAGCUACCUAUUAAAAAAAGGAAGGUGGGGAAGCCCAGAGAAGGCUCUCUGAUGAAGACAUUAGUAUAUGGACAGGCACAUAUGGAGAGAGACCAUGCUAUAAAGCUUCCCUCCCCAUUCCUUCUGCCUUAGCCACAUUCGAGGGUGAACCUUACUUUCCCUGUCCACCUUCUACCAGGAAGACUCCCGCUCCAUACCCUAAUAGCCACAUACUCAGGCCCCCCGGCUUAUGUCUUUGCAAUUGGUCAUUUUGUUCAGUCAGCUUUGGAAUGUUUCAGUAUGGCUAGGCAUCUACGAUCUUUCACAGCAUCUGCAUUUGUUCAAUUGAAGGUGGAAUUGACUGGCCUGCCCUCACAGAUGCACUGAUCUUGAUGUGCGCCUCUGAUGUUGAACUGUGUUGAACUGACGUCAAGUGUGCAUUUUUAAAAUAUUUGUUUCUCCAGCUACCAAAAUCACACACAGAAAACAAAGCAAAAGCAAAAGGCAAAUAAUACUCUAAAAACCCAUAGGAGAUUUGAAAAGGUUGAUACUGAGGUUUUAAACAAUAUUUGUUGGUCUUAAUGGUUUAUUGCAAUCUGCUGUGGGAUUUAUAUUGAAAUUAAGAGUGGUCUGUAAUUUAUAUAAUUAGCAAAUAAUACUUUCCUCCCAUUCUUUUAUGGUCUUUCGGUGCCCUGUCCCAUGAGGGUAUGUGCUUCAUCUUGGAAAACUUUAUAGUGACAUUUGUGCUAAACUAGGCUCCAUACUUCCAAAAGUCAGUCAGUUACAUCUCUAGAAUAAUAGUUUUGCAUUCAAUAUCAUGUCAGAGUAUGAUCUGGAAACUUCAGAGAAGGACAUUAUGAUCUCUUCUCCUUUAUACCAAGUUUUAUUUCCAUUCUCCCUUCCACAUGCUAAACUUUGUUGUGCUCCUGGGUCCCAUAUUCCUUACUGCCUGUUCUGUUUCUACAUUCUUAUUUUGUAUGUUAGUUUCUGGAUUUUAAACAAUCUGAGGAGUUGAUGCAGAACACCAGAGACUUUUUGAUUUAUUGCUUGUACUCAAAAAGUACUUAUUUUCUCUUCAGUUGGGGGACAGGGGAGAUAAAGAUAGAUGAAGAGCCUAGGGAGCAGAAAAGCAGCCAGAGAAGAUUAGAUUCAGUGUUGCUUGGCAUGCCCAACAUACUUUCUAGUUACAAUAACAGUGACAUUAUUUCCCUUUACGUGCAGCAAGCUUACAUUUGUUUUGUACUGACGCUUCUGCACAUCACCAUACUACAUAUUCCAUGUCUUUUAGGGCUUCUAAUAGCUGCUAAUCAAUUUGUACUUUAUCAUAUUAUUGCAAAUGAUGGGUGGUGAGGAGAAAAAGGUAAACAAACCCAGUUAUAAAUCAGGUUUCUGCUUCAUAUAUACUACUGUUUCAAAUGUGUUGUUGUCUUUAGAAGUAUACCCAACAUGGUACAGCUAUUUUUCUUCAGUAGUAAGCACUCCUUAUUGAAUAUUCAAGUGAUGCUCCAACAUUUAGCAGUGGUUAAUACUUUUUCUUACUCUACAGUAAGGAUGGGACAGGAAAAUAUUACUAUUCCUUCUCUCCAUCUGGACUUACAAGCAGCAAUGCCCCCUUCACACUUCUCUAAUACUGUAUGGAAUCUGCUUUCCUGUAGUGUAUGUGUGCGACCCCAAGUAGGUAGGGGGCACCAAUUGUACAUGUCCUUUCAACCAGAUAAGUAAUUGGGUGGGAAAGACCACAUGAUUGGCCCCACCCAAGUGGUUGCAGUAUCAACGCACAUACUGCAGCAGCAUGGGAGUAAUUACAGCCCAGAAAAGUAGUGUAUAUGAGAAGCUGGCUGCUGUAGAGUGACCGUUACCAAUAGCCAAUCUAUCUUGUGGCACACUUUGUUGGUAAAUUGUAAAUUGGCUGUUUGGGUUGAUCAUGUGCAGAACUUGGUGGAAGAGAAUGAGGGAGAAGCAGCCUAGGAGAAUGGUUUUUGAGAAUGCUUGAUGUGCCACUUGACUGCCAUCUCUAUGAAUGCACAGGGAAUGUUUAGAAGAAUAAAAGGUACAGGUACCUCACAUUUUUUUCUGCAAUUAAUUUAAAUCUUGAAACAACAACAAAAAAGAAAAUUUAGUAUUUACAUUUUUUAAAACAACAACAACCACCAGUUAAUAAGAGACGAGCGAAAAGCCCUUCACAUAACCUUUUUCCCUUGAAAGCAGAGGCUCCAGAAGGAAAUGCUUCAUGAAACUACCCCCUCAUCUGGGGGCAUGGGUUGCCUCAGCACUAAUAACUGGCAUAAGCUUCCCUUCAGUUAUACAGUUUAGUUGAGUAUGCAGUAGCAAACAAGAGGAAGCAUUGGUCAAACUGCGGGUUGCACAUAACAGGGCCAGAUGCCAAGAGCCUUAGGAAAAGGCAGCGAGGGGAGGUGAUUAGCCUGCUUGCUUUUCUAUAUAAAACUGACCUUUUUGAGGAAGUCUUGGUCUUGGCCUCUGUAGCAUAUGAGUACGUGCAAAAGAACCUCACUUCUCCAACUCUUAAAAUGGCAGAACUGCCACCAAUACCGGUGUUGGCAAAAAAAAAUUUAAAAAAUGGGGAGGGGAAAUUGAGGGAAGAAAAAAAUACAAUUUUCAAAAAUGCUUGCCACUUGGAAAACUCUAUUUGGGAGGAAAUUAUAAUUGUAUCCAAAUAGCUAGUGCUGGCAACAGAGAUAAUUUAAAGAUAUGAUCCU
rnacentral:lncRNA from 1 species